CACACCAUGACAGCUGGAAGUGUUCUAUUCCCUGGAAGUAUUUUGUCCUGAAGACUCUAAAUUUUGCUCCAGAACUGUUUAGGAAUACCGUUUGUUCUUUAUUCCAUGAUGCAAUAGUAUAUGAAUGCAGUUCAAAUAUAAACCAUCUAUGACUUAGUUAUUGAAUACUAAUUGAAAUAACUUACUCUCUGCUUUCAGAUAACCACCUUUUGACUAAAUUUCAUAGUAGAUCUGUGUGGCAGCCUCAGGACUUUCUGUGACAGGGCAGACCUCUGUAGAGAGCUGUAGGGUGCAACAAAGCACAGCCAGCCUUGCUGGGUAAGUGUGAGAUUUGGAAGGCUGGGCAGAGGCUGGUUAGAAAGCUGUUACCAACUGAGUGACAAAGCCUUAGCUAGGCAGAAUAUACAUCGACUAGUCAGUGCGGAACUGAAUACAGGGACAACCUCAGGCUGUAACAGCAGCUGGGUAGAAGUAAUACGUAACCUGCUCUGAAAGCUAAGGGUUUUUUCUUCUUUAUGGUGAUUCCUGUAGGACAGCUCAAAAUUUGCAAGAGUUUCCUAAAUUUGUGGUUCUCUACCUGUGUACAUGGAAGCUUCAUGUUAUUUUCUGGCAGCAAUAAAUGAGAAUAGCACCUGCACUCUGUUAUGAUAUUAUGGAGCUGUUUUCUCUCAACUGUUGCUACCUAAGUACUGGAAUCUUUUUGAUCCUAAGUUAAAAAGUGUGGGCUGUCUUCUCUGGCUAAGCAGCUUCAGGUUUUCCCACCAAUGGCUUCUCCACUACUGCUUCUAGGCAACAGCUGACUCCAAAUAAAAAUCAGCACAGUUACAGCCCACACGAUGCACUCACCCACACACCGAAUAGGAGAGGCUUGCUCGAGGGUUUUCAAAACAUGGAAAAGGAAGAUAAAUUACUUGAGAAAGAAUUUGAAUUGCAUAUUAUUUGAGCUUAUUGACUGAUUUUCUCUUCCUGAAAAUCUCAACACUGACUGGGAAUAAUAAAUUUCAGAAUACCAUCCCAAGACAGAUUUUUAAACAUUAUGAUCUCUGAAGAUAGAGCUGAAAUAUCAAAGUCGCUUUUCAAAAGCACCUGUAUACCAAGGAUUCCCUCUAGGCUCAAGGCUGUCACUGGACAAGCAACCCCAGACAUUAACCCUUGACUUCUGCUUACAUGGGCCAAGACUUAUUCCAUCUAACUGAAGAAUGGCAGCACCCCAGUUUUUUUAUCAUGAGAUGUCAUAAAUCACAUUUAUAAUGUAGACUAUGCAGGGGACAAAAGUUAGGGUUUAACUUCUAAAGCAGCUUGCACUUAACCUGACAGGCCUUGCAUCUGAAGCACUUUGCCUGACCAUAGAUUGACUUUAGGACAGGCAAUGACCCAAUACAUCUUGUGCUUAGCUACUUUACACAAACUGACUGCAUUAAUGUAAGAAUGGUCAACCAUAUUAUCUCUGAAAGAUUGUUCCUGGAGCAUUCUAGACUUCUUUUGCUGGGAGCUUUCCCCAAUCCUCCUCUAUACACAUUUUUUUUUUUGGGCAGUUUACAGCCCUGAAUAUCACCAGCACACUUUAGAAAUUAUUAAAUGACUAUGGAAGCAGGUAGAUGUAAAUUAGUAAUCAAAUGUUCCCUUAAGUUUAUGCACAGGGAAAAAUGUUAAGAAACACCAAGAUGACAUUGCUUGCUAAUUGCAAUUCCUUAGCUGCUACUGGUGAUAUAUUCAGAACACUACUGGCUUAGUCUGUGGUCCUAUAAUUCAGAAAUCAGUUGGGCAGCAGAAAGAAUGCCUAGAUGACACAUCUGGUCAUCAUCUUGACUUAUUUAUCAGGUAUAUUGAUUAAUACAUUAGCAAUAGUUUUGCUAACUGCCUGAAUUUCUCUGUUCGAAAGCUAAGAUGAAUCUACAUGGUCUUCUCCCUCUGUAUGAUAAGGAAUCACUGGCACUACUGCAUGUGGCUUGGCUACAGGGAUAUGGUCAUAACCAACCUCAAACACCACCAAGACUGUAUUGGGUACAACAAACCUCAAUUGAAAGCCACUCGAUUUUCAGACCUGGGAAUGCAUCUUAAAACAUAUUGUCAUUGCUGAGGUGACUGAGAAGAAAAAUGAAAGGGAGUGAUAAUAGAAGGGCCAGUCAAUUACGAUUAAGUGAAACAGUCUAUUGCCUCCUGUCUUUUCUCUGCAAUUGAAUGGAAGAACGGCAGUUCAGCAAGCAGAAAAGCAACCGAUUUCACUUAUGAACUCCAGUGUGUUCCAUUGCACUGAGUAGACUGAAAAAGAAGAGGGAUGAACAGCAACGGGGGAAUGUACCUAAAGCACAGACCUGCACAGAGAGACUACUCCUUAUUUACUCUGGAGUUUCCCUCACUCCUUAUCACCUCCUAGACUGCUGAGUGGUGUCAGCUGGGACACUCACUUGUGGCAGUUCUCCCAAGAGGCCUCAAAAUUGGAGGCUCUCUCUUCAUGCUUAUCUUCUUGAGUGUAUAGCACUGACCUAGCUGUGCAGGUGAGUUUCUCAUCAUCCCAGGCUGGAUUUGUUGACACUGCUCCUCCCUCAGUUACUUUAUGUCAGUUUGCUCAUUGCUUCUAUAGUGUCAAGACUCCAAGGCACAAUCUUUCCAACACAUCAUUUGUGUAAUAAAUGCUACAAAGGGUUUGAAAUGUUUGAAGCUAUUAUGUAUAAAAGAGAACAUUGGACUUUCUGAAAAGGGGACAAUUAAAUCACCUUAUUCAGAAUUGUAACAAGAUUUUAUGGUAGUAUAAUCACUUGCACUUGUAUUUCUGCUCUUUAUGGACCUUUUCUCUUUACUGUAUUUAAUGCAUUGUAAAAUGUAAAAGCUAUUUACACAUAAAUGAUGCUACUGGCAAUAUUCAAACCAAACACAACACCAUUAUUGUUACUGAGAGACUGAAUAAAUAUUUGAUCAAUUCAGAUGCUUCUGCUGGAAUUUAGUAUCAUAAAACUACUUUGUGAAUGCCAUUAGAAGAAAGAUAAUUAUUAUUUGUACAAAGCCACAAAAAAUUCUGUUUCAGAUCUGAACUGGAAAUGUUAUAGUAGAUUUAAAGUAGAAUAUCUUGAUGCUGCUCAGAGUAUGCCUGGCUAAAGAAAAAACUGCAAGUUCUUAAACAGGUGAUGUUUUAA